AAGGGGGGGGAGGGAAUGAUACCUUUAAGCGUCGCCGUUCUAGUACUUUGCGUUAAUCCGUUUCCCUAGCCCGGAGUCAGAUUUCCCUCCCUCUCUGAUCUACUGUCUAUCCAAACGAAGCAACAGAACGGGCGUGAGAGGAGACGAUGAUUUCCCUCUACAGUUGCUCAACUUCCUUGGCAAAAUCAUUUAUAUUUCAAUCCUCGCCUCCUUUCUUCUGCUUCUCCCCUAGAAACCCUAGAACUCCCUCCAGCUCCUUGAGAAUAUGCUUCGUAGCCAGUUCCAGUUCUGGUUCCACAAACUCCGAUGAAGACAAAGAAGACCUCGCCGGCCGCAGAGCCAAUUUCGGCGGAGUUCAGUUGGAGGAUACCGUGUCUCUCAAUUCAGGUAAGCUGAGGCUUGAUUCAUGGAUAUCUUCUCGCAUUGGUGGAAUCAGUAGGGCUCGCGUCCAGUCAAGUAUUCGCUCCGGCCUCGUUGCUGUCAAUGGUCGCGUUGUAGAUAAGGUCUCGCAUAACGUCAAAACUGGAGAUAAGGUGAAUUGCACUAUCUCAGAGUUGCAACCCUUAAGGGCUGUGCCGGAAGACAUACCUUUGGAUAUAGUUUUUGAAGAUGAGCACGUACUAGUUGUUAACAAACCUGCACACAUGGUUGUUCAUCCAGCACCUGGGAAUGCUACUGGCACACUUGUAAACGGAGUUCUUCAUCAUUGCAGUCCUCCGGUGGUUGCAUUUUCAAACGAGGAAGUUCUUUCUGAUGCUGAGGAUAUUUCUGAUGAUGAGUUGAGCAGCUUUUCUGCAGGGCAAAAUCCUAACGAUGGGCUUUAUUCCAGAAGAAGUGGGGCAUCUAUACGCCCAGGGAUUGUGCACAGAUUGGACAAAGGCACUAGUGGAUUACUUGUUGUUGCAAAGGAUGAACACUCUCAUGCCAAUUUAUCUGAACAAUUCAAGCUACAUACCAUCCAAAGAUUAUACGUUAGUCUUACUUCUGGAGUGCCAUCUCCAAUGGCUGGACGGGUCGAGGUUCCUAUUGGUCGUGAUUUAAAUAAUCGGAUUCGUAUGGCUGCUAUACCUGGAUCAAAUAUUUCUAGACAGGCCCGUCAUGCUGCUAGUACAAAGUAAUUGAAAUACUUGCUGGUGGCAGUUCUGCAUUGGUUGAGUGGAGAUUAGAAACUGGACGCACUCAUCAGAUCCGUGCGCAUGCGAAGUACUUGGGGAUUCCACUUUUAGGUGAUGAGGUGUAUGGAGGGACCAAGAGCAUGGCUUUAUCGCUGCUUCGGCCUAGAACCCCACCUAGUCGUCAUGGGCAACUUUUGCAACUGGUUUCUCGAUUGGAGAGGCCUUGCCUCCAUGCCUUGGCUCUUGGGUCGGAGGAUAUAGCUAAGUUUGUAAUAUUUUGUUCACAGAUUGUGGUACAGAAUAGUUACUCCCCCUGCCAUUUUUUUUUUCCUCAGGUUCAUGCAUCCACACACAAUGGAGAAUGUAUAUUUUCAAUGCCCUCCACCUGCAGAUUUUGCUGAGAUCCUGGGCCAGCUUCGUAAAAUCGGCACAGUGAAGCAUUCAUUUGAGGAAUGAUUGAAAUUGAUAUAGCAAGCUUACGGUGUUGUCAGUCUCAAUAGCCAACUUUGGAUUGGUGAGGUAAGGAAGAUUCUCCAAUCUUGUAAAUCAUGCGCAUUUCCAACACUUGAAGCCUGUCCUGCGUCUUGGGGGGAAACCAUUGCUCGCUAAAGUAAACUAAAGUUUUAUGGGCCAGACAACUCCACCCCGGCGGCCCAACACAGACACCCAAAGAAACGUUCUGGAAUAAAUAAUUGUUCCAGGAAUAUUGUUUGAUGAAACAGGACUUUUUUUGGGUUGUGUGCAACAAACCUGUGAAGGGAGUUUUGCCAUUUAAAACCCCUUCUAGAACCUGUUAUUCUGUUGUGAAUUGAAUCUUAUGGUCAAAUGUGGGGUAAAAGACUUGCACUCCAUUGAGAGGCAUACUUCCCAGUUUGUAAGAGUUUGAAUUCCGAAAAUUCUCUUCAAUGGUUAUCUGAACGGACGCUAGGAAAUAAAAUCUCUAUCAAUUCCCAGUGAAGAUUGGCUGUGCAGAAGCUGAUAUUGGAAGUGAUGGCGAUCGUUGCUACAGCAUGCUUGCUAAUAUCAUUAGAGACGGGCACCGUGGGUUCUCCAAGUGGCGUUAGUGCCCCUAGGCCAUGUCUAUUCCAAAUUGGGCGGGAGUACGGGCAUGCACAACCUGGCCAAACCUUGGGCCUCAGAUUAUCGGGCUAGCUUCAGGGGAAAUUAUGCGGACUCUAAGCAAAAAUAUGAGCUUUCCCUGGCAUAAAUUAUAUUUGUUUUUAUUUCCCAAUUCUUUUUGUUUCAAAAGACUCUUAAAAUGAGAUUGUAGGAGAGAGGGGUUAAAUGUUGGCCAAUAUGUGAUCUCCACUGUGUAAAUGAAUGGAGUUAGUACCAUUAAAGGCAAUCUAAUUGGAAACAUCAAUAAUUUUAAAGCUUCAUCUGUAUUCGAUCAGGUGAAAACUCUUACGCCCAAAA